rnacentral:lncRNA from 1 species
CUCAAAUUUGUCCCUGAAUCUAAGUCACUGAGCAGGAGGAAUGGUAGUAUAGUCGGUUCUUGCAUCAUGUCGGGAUAUAGCGCUAGAAGAUAGUUAGUAGAGUGAACACUACCAUGUACUCAGGGAUAAGAUAAAAUAAUGCCAGCUAUUCAAAACCAAGUUAAACAACCAUAUGCAAUCACAUAUAUGCAUAUAUAUUAUGCUGGGAUAAGGAACAAGGUUUAGCAUACAUUUAAAACCUUUACCUGGGUUAUGUAGCUUUAUCAUCAUAAUCUACCCAUAUGCUAUAUAGGUUCAGUUUUUCCCCCUGAAUGGGCCCCAGUGCAUGUAGCUGGACA